GUCUUUGGGGCAGGGUGAGAUUCCCUACCGGCGGUAUAGCCCGCGAGCCUGAUGAGGCAGAGUAAUUCUGCAGCAGAUAGGCAGGAUUCGGUGAGAUUCCGAAGCCGACAGUAUAGUCUGGAUGAGAAAAGAC
rnacentral:ncRNA from 1 species